rnacentral:rRNA from 1 species
AUUGAACGCUGGCGGCAGGCCUAACACAUGCAAGUCGAACGAGUGGCGGACGGGUGAGUAAUGUCUGGGAAACUGCCCGAUGGAGGGGGAUAACUACUGGAAACGGUAGCUAAUACCGCAUACCAUGGGAUGGGCCCAGAUGGGAUUAGCUAGUAGGUGGGGUAACGGAUGACCUAGGCGACGAUCCCUUGCUGGUCUGAGGGGAGGACCAGCCACCCUGGAACUGAGACACGGUCCAGACUCCUACGGUAGGCAGCAGUGGGGAAUAUUGCACAAUUGGCGCAAGCCUGAUGCAGCCAUGCCGCGUGUAUGAAGAAGGCCUUCGGGUUGUAAAGUACUUUCAGCGGGGAGGCGUUACCCGCAGAAGAAGCACCGGCUAACUCCGUGCCAGCAGCCGCGGUAAUUC